GACGAACGCUGGCGGCGUGCCUAAUACAUGCAAGUCGAACGCUGAAGGAGGAGCUUGCUUCUCUGGAUGAGUUGCGAACGGGUGAGUAACGCGUAGGUAACCUGCCUGGUAGCGGGGGAUAACUAUUGGAAACGAUAGCUAAUACCGCAUAAUAGUAGAUGUUGCAUGACAUUUGCUUAAAAGGUGCAAUUGCAUCACUACCAGAUGGACCUGCGUUGUAUUAGCUAGUUGGUGGGGUAACGGCUCACCAAGGCGACGAUACAUAGCCGACCUGAGAGGGUGAUCGGCCACACUGGGACUGAGACACGGCCCAGACUCCUACGGGAGGCAGCAGGAGGGAAUCUUCGGCAAUGGACGGAAGUCUGACCGAGCAACGCCGCGUGAGGGAAGAAGGUUUUCGGAUCGUAAAGCUCGGUUGUAAGAGAAGAACGAGUGUGAGAGUGGAAAGUUCACACUGUGACGGUAUCUGACCAGAAAGGGACGGCUAACUACGUG
rnacentral:rRNA from 1 species